UGCAAGUCGAACGGCAGCGGGGGCUUCGGCCUGCCGGCGAGUGGCGAACGGGUGAGUAAUGCAUCGGAACGUACCCAGUCGUGGGGGAUAACUACGCGAAAGCGUAGCUAAUACCGCAUACGCCCUGAGGGGGAAAGCGGGGGACCUUCGGGCCUCGCGCGAUUGGAGCGGCUGAUGUCGGAUUAGCUAGUUGGUGGGGUAAAGGCCUACCAAGGCGACGAUCCGUAGCUGGUCUGAGAGGAUGAUCAGCCACACUGGGACUGAGACACGGCCCAGACUCCUACGGGAGGCAGCAGUGGGGAAUUUUGGACAAUGGGCGCAAGCCUGAUCCAGCCAUGCCGCGUGAGUGAAGAAGGCCUUCGGGUUGUAAAGCUCUUUCAGACGGAAAGAAAUCGGGCGCGUGAAUAGCGUGCCUGGAUGACGGUACUGUCAGAAGAAGCACCGGCUAACUACGUGCCAGCAGCCGCGGUAAUACGUAGGGUGCGAGCGUUAAUCGGAAUUACUGGGCGUAAAGCGUGCGCAGGCGGUUGUGUAAGACAGGUGUGAAAUCCCCGGGCUUAACCUGGGAAACUGCGCUUGUGACUGCACGGCUAGAGUACGGCAGAGGGGGGUGGAAUUCCAC
rnacentral:rRNA from 1 species